GACGAACGCUGGCGGCGUGCUUAACACAUGCAAGUCGAACGGUAAGGCCCUUCGGGGUACACGAGUGGCGAACGGGUGAGUAACACGUGGGUGAUCUGCCCUGCACUUCGGGAUAAGCCUGGGAAACUGGGUCUAAUACCGGAUAGGACCACUGCCUGCAUGGGUGGUGGUGGAAAGCUUUUGCGGUGUGGGAUGGGCCCGCGGCCUAUCAGCUUGUUGGUGGGGUGAUGGCCUACCAAGACGACGACGGGUAGCCGGCCUGAGAGGGUGACCGGACACACGGGGACUGAGAUACGGCCCAUACUCCUACGGGAGGCAGCAGUGGGGAAUAUUGCACAAUGGGCGCAAGCCUGAUGCAGCGACGCCGCGUGAGGGAUGACGGCCUUCGGGUUGUAAACCUCUUUCAGCACCGACGAAGCGCAAGUGACGGUAGGUGCAGAAGAAGGACCGGCCAACUACGUGCCAGCCGCCGCCGUAA
rnacentral:rRNA from 1 species